AUGGCUUUAAAGAUUAGUACUAUCCUUCUUCUACUUUUCGUCUGUGGUGCAAUUCUUUUGGGAAACAAUCUGAAAGUUGUCGAUGCUCAAAAAAUAUGUCCCCAAUUUUGCUAUGAUGAUCGUUCAUAUAUGACUUGCCUUUCUUCUGGUGAUCAGCACCUCAAUCCAGCAUGCAAUUGCUGCAUUGCAUCAACUGGAUGUACAAUUUACAAAGAUGAUGGAACUCCUAUUUGUACUGCUGAUUAA